GAGUCGACACCUGCUCUGCACAGAAGGAAACGGCGCUCCACACCUUUAGCUCCAGCCACACCACCUUCACAAACAACAGAGAAAAGCCCAUACUUCCAGACCACAGAAAUCUCACUUUGGACAGUGGUGGCUGCUAUUCAAGCUGUGGAGAAGAAGAUGGAAUCCCGGGCUGCCUGAGUGCAGAACCUGGAGGGACGUGCAGGGUCAGCAGAGAAGAAGCUGGCUGACUUCGAGCCAGAGAGUUCAGCAACCAGCCGGAGGGCAAGUGGGCCGUGCUGGGGACCCUGCUGCAGGAGUACAGGCUGCUACCGCCACGACUGGAGAAUGUAGAGAACCUGCUUCGCCACAAUAACUUCUGGGUCCUUUGGUUGCCUCCCGGCAGUAAGGGGAAACCCCAAAGGUGUCCGGGUCCCUUGAGAAUGAUGGGGUCUGUUUCUCAGAACGAGAGUGUGAGAACCUGGAGGACUGGCAGAAGGAGCUCUACAGAAAUGUUAUGGAAAGCAGCUAUGAGACGCUGGUCUCUCUGAAGGUUCUUGGCCAGCCAGAGGAAGAAGUGGAGUUGGGUGCAGAGAUGGUGGGUGACUCAGUGGAAGAAGGUACCCACUUGGCAGAUGGGGCCAUGGUUAAACAGAAGAUGCUGUACAAGCAGGAGGGCCCUGCAGGUCUUCCCAGCACGUUUUCCAGUGCAACUGAACAGCAGGCUUUCUUUGGCGCGGAGCAGGCUGUGUUCUGGAAUAGUCCAGGAGAUUUUGCCCUCUUGGAAUCAGGCCCA
rnacentral:lncRNA from 1 species